UAUUAACAUGGUCUAUAGACAUCUAGAGGGGGUAUUAACAUGGUCUAUAGACAUCUAGAGGGGGUAUUAACAUGGUCUAUAGACAUCUAGAGGGGGUAUUAACAUGGUCUAUAGACAUCUAGAGGGGGUAUUAACAUGGUCUAUAGACAUCUAGAGGGGGUAUUAACAUGGUCUAUAGACAUCUAGAGGGGUAUUAACAUGGUCUAUAGACAUCUAGAGGGGGUAUUAACAUGGUCUAUAGACAUCUAGAGGGGGUAUUAACAUGGUCUAUAGACAUCUAGAGGAGGUAUUAACAUGGUCUAUAGACAUCUAGAGGGUGUAUUAACAUGGUCUAUAGACAUCUAGAGGGGGUAUUAACAUGGUCUAUAGACAUCUAGAGGGGGUAUUAACAUGGUCUAUAGACAUCUAGAGGGGGUAUUAACAUGGUCUAUAGACAUCUAGAGGGGUAUUAACAUGGUCUAUAGACAUCUAGAGGGGUAUUAACAUGGUCUAUAGACAUCUAGAGGGGGUAUUAACAUGGUCUAUAGACAUCUAGAGGGGUAUUAACAUGGUCUAUAGACAUCUAGAGGGGGUAUUAACAUGGUCUAUAGACAUCUAGAGGGGGUAUUAACAUGGUCUAUAGACAUCUAGAGGGGGUAUUAACAUGGUCUAUAGACAUCUAGAGGGGGUAUUAACAUGGUCUAUAGACAUCUAGAGGGGGUAUUAACAUGGUCUAUAGACAUCUAGAGGGGGUAUUAACAUGGUCUAUAGACAUCUAGAGGGGGUAUUAACAUGGUCUAUAGACAUCUAGAGGGGGUAUUAACAUGGUCUAUAGACAUCUAGAGGGGGUAUUAACAUGGUCUAUAGACAUCUAGAGGGGGUAUUAACAUGGUCUAUAGACAUCCAG